UACUUUGAAGAAAGAAUUGAGAUAAUGGAGUGAUUGUGUAUAUGGGAAGGGGAGAAACGACCAAAAGUGCUGCUGAUUUUGAGCGUGGGGGGCAGGGGGGAAGAGAGCUACCCCCAGGAGGGGGUGGAGUGUGAGUGGCAGGCCAGGAGCUACUUUUAGAGACACUGUGCGUAUGCAGGCGGGGAUCUUACCUGGGAACUGUCCAGGGGGCUGGAAAUCAGGACAGAGGAUCUGCACAGAGGAAGUAAUACAAGGGAUGAAAGAGAGACCACAGACUUUAAAGGAAGGCAACAGAAAGGGAGAGAGAAUAGCAGGGCCCCGGCUCACCCAGGUUAGGAGGUGCCAGCGGUAAGGCGCGUGGGCGCUCGGAGGGAGUAUGUACCCUGGAAGCAGGCCAGCCUGCCACAAGCUUCCUGACUUCGAAGGCCAGGCUGGAGCCCAAGAAGGCUUUGCAGACCCCGAGUGUGCCCAGUGUGUGAGCCAAGUGCUGUCUCUGGAGAUGAAGCCAACAGCCCGGCUCUGCCCAUGUCAGCCGCCUGGCGCGGGAGCCAGCCGAGCAGGACCGGCGCUGCCCCAAGGCGGAGGCCAGGCGUGUCUCUGGUCAGGCCGGCUGAGCAGCCACGCCCAGUGUCACCAGGUGUCACCGAGGCCCGAGCACCACCCUGGCUGGGCGAUGCGUGCUGGCCCGCUCCGCUAAUGUGCUUUGGGCCCUUAUUUCCUCUUUCAAUGUGUUUCUGAAAAACAUAUUCUUUCAGGUGAAAAAACAGUUUAUGUUUUUUAGGAUGAUGAUUUGAAAUAAAGCAAAUAUUGGCCACCUGCUCAGCAGAUAGUUACAGAGAGCUGGGAAAGGGCCCCAGACAAUCUACUCUAACCGCAGUUCUGUUUAUCAUUCUGUAAAAGCUGCCACCUUUGGGAUUUGUUUCUGUGAGUGGUAUCAAUUCCCCAAAGAGAUCAGCAUAAAAAGGCGAUUAAAAGAAUUUUGUGUGAUUUUUGCUUUUAAAGUAAAAUCUUGGUAAACCAA